GACGAACGCUGGCGGCGUGCUUAACACAUGCAAGUCGAACGGAAAGGCCCUGCUUUUGUGGGGUGCUCGAGUGGCGAACGGGUGAGUAACACGUGAGUAACCUGCCCUUGACUUUGGGAUAACUUCAGGAAACUGGGGCUAAUACCGGAUAGGAGCUCCUGCUGCAUGGUGGGGGUUGGAAAGUUUCGGCGGUUGGGGAUGGACUCGCGGCUUAUCAGCUUGUUGGUGGGGUAGUGGCUUACCAAGGCUUUGACGGGUAGCCGGCCUGAGAGGGUGACCGGCCACAUGGGGACUGAGAUACGGCGCAGACUCGUACGGGAGGCAACAGUGGGGAAUAUUGCACAAUGGGCGGAAGCCUGAUGCAGCAACGCCGCGUGCGGGAUGACGGCCUUCGGGUUGUAAACCGCUUUCGCAUGUGACGAAGCGUGAGUGACGGUAAUGGGUAAAGAAGCACCGGCUAACUACGUG
rnacentral:rRNA from 1 species